rnacentral:rRNA from 1 species
UGAGGAAUAUUGCGCAAUGGAGGCAACUCUGACGCAGCCAUGCCGCGUGCAGGAAGAAGGCGCUACGCGUUGUAAACUGCUUUUAAUCGGGAAGAAACCCCGGGACGUGUCCCGGGUUGACGGUACCGAUGGAAUAAGCACCGGC